UCUCUGAAGCUCACCAGGGGCAUCGCAGCGCCCAGGGCUAUCCAGCCUCUGGAGGGAGCAUGCCCUAGAGACUAAAACCACCACCGAUCCCUGAACACGUCCUGCCUGGCUCCAGAACGCAGAUCCAGCAUUGGUUCCCACACCCUGCGGCGCUGCUGGGACCUCCUGUGGGUGAUGGACGCAGAGAGGAGCCACCUGCUCCCCCACCAGAGCUGCCUGCCUUCCCUUUAUAAAGACACUAGAAGCUUCUCCCUCUCUGGGUAUCUGGGGUUCAUCCCUAGUUAGAGGUGAGCUGUCUAGUCCCGUAGGCAUGUGCUGGAACCACGUAUAUUACUACCACUUCCCAUCAUAACAACAGUUAGAUCACUCCAUGUUCCAGAGGCCUCAGAUGCGCGUAAGGGCUUCGGCAAAGCUUUAAUUGCAGGGGAGUCCAUGGCAGGGACACUCACCUUUGUGGGCUAGCUCCACGUCUUCUUGUCUCAUCCCAGCCUUUAGAUCCCGCUCCCAUUUUCAUUCCCGCGCCUAGCCUCCAAGCAGCGACUUCGACCUCGCUCCGCAGCGCUGAGCUGCACCUGGGACUCCUCGUGCCCCGCGUGCCCUGCGCCAGGGUUUCUCCUACUUGCGCUGUAGUGCGCAUGCGCGUUUCGGGAGUCUUUAAAGGGCCCACGCAGUCACUACGGGGCCCCCUUCGCUGGCCAUUGGAAGGAGACCUAGGUUUGAUCUCUGGGUCGGGAAGAUCCCCUGGAAGAGGGCAUGGCAACCCACUCCAGUAUUCUUGCAUGGAGAAUCCCAUGGACAGAGGAGCCUGGCGGGCUGCAGUCCAUGGGGUGGCAGAGAGCCGGACAUGACUGAGCGACUCAGCAGCAGCAGUCAAAUCCUCUAGGCGGCAUGGAGCCUCUUCUGAAGGUGGAUUAUUCCUGUC
ensembl:lncRNA